GAUGUACUCCCUCCGUUCCGAAUUACUUGUCUUAGAUUUGUCUAGAUACGGGUGUAUCUAGCACUAAAAUGAGUCAUACAUCCGUAUCUAGACAAAUCCAAGACAAGUAAUUCGGAACGGAGGGAGUACAUG
rfam:Triticum aestivum genome assembly, contig: Triticum_aestivum_CS42_TGACv1_scaffold_622235_7DS